UACGUAGGGGGCGAGCGUUGUCCGGAUUUAUUGGGCGUAAAGAGCUCGUAGGCGGUUUGGUAAGUCGGGUGUGAAAUCUCCACGCUCAACGUGGAGGGGCCACUCGAUACUGCCAUGACUCGAGUCCGGUAGAGGAGGUGUGGAAUUCCCGGUGUAGCGGUGAAAUGCGCAGAUAUCGGGAAGAACACCAACGGCGAAGGCAGCUCGCUGGGACGGUACUGACGCUGAGACGCGAAAGCGUGGGGAGCGAACAGG
rnacentral:rRNA from 1 species